AAAUUGAAGAGUUUGAUCAUGGCUCAGAUUGAACGCUGGCGGCAGGCCUAACACAUGCAAGUCGAACGGUAACAGGAAGCAGCUUGCUGUUUCGCUGACGAGUGGCGGACGGGUGAGUAAUGUCUGGGAAACUGCCUGAUGGAGGGGGAUAACUACUGGAAACGGUGGCUAAUACCGCAUAACGUCGCAAGACCAAAGAGGGGGCCUUCGGGCCUCUUGCCAUCAGAUGUGCCCAGAUGGGAUUAGCUUGUUGGUGAGGUAACGGCUCACCAAGGCGACGAUCCCUAGCUGGUCUGAGAGGAUGACCAGCCACACUGGAACUGAGACACGGUCCAGACUCCUACGGGAGGCAGCAGUGGGGAAUAUUGCACAAUGGGCGCAAGCCUGAUGCAGCCAUGCCGCGUGUAUGAAGAAGGCCUUCGGGUUGUAAAGUACUUUCAGCGGGGAGGAAGGUGUUGUGGUUAAUAACCACAGCAAUUGACGUUACCCGCAGAAGAAGCACCGGCUAACUCCGUGCCAGCAGCCGCGGUAAUACGGAGGGUGCAAGCGUUAAUCGGAAUUACUGGGCGUAAAGCGCACGCAGGCGGUCUGUCAAGUCGGAUGUGAAAUCCCCGGGCUCAACCUGGGAACUGCAUUCGAAACUGGCAGGCUUGAGUCUUGUAGAGGGGGGUAGAAUUCCAGGUGUAGCGGUGAAAUGCGUAGAGAUCUGGAGGAAUACCGGUGGCGAAGGCGGCCCCCUGGACAAAGACUGACGCUCAGGUGCGAAAGCGUGGGGAGCAAACAGGAUUAGAUACCCUGGUAGUCCACGCCGUAAACGAUGUCUACUUGGAGGUUGUGCCCUUGAGGCGUGGCUUCCGGAGCUAACGCGUUAAGUAGACCGCCUGGGGAGUACGGCCGCAAGGUUAAAACUCAAAUGAAUUGACGGGGGCCCGCACAAGCGGUGGAGCAUGUGGUUUAAUUCGAUGCAACGCGAAGAACCUUACCUGGUCUUGACAUCCACAGAACUUUCCAGAGAUGGAUUGGUGCCUUCGGGAACUGUGAGACAGGUGCUGCAUGGCUGUCGUCAGCUCGUGUUGUGAAAUGUUGGGUUAAGUCCCGCAACGAGCGCAACCCUUAUCCUUUGUUGCCAGCGGUUAGGCCGGGAACUCAAAGGAGACUGCCAGUGAUAAACUGGAGGAAGGUGGGGAUGACGUCAAGUCAUCAUGGCCCUUACGACCAGGGCUACACACGUGCUACAAUGGCGCAUACAAAGAGAAGCGACCUCGCGAGAGCAAGCGGAUCUCAUAAAGUGCGUCGUAGUCCGGAUUGGAGUCUGCAACUCGACUCCAUGAAGUCGGAAUCGCUAGUAAUCGUGGAUCAGAAUGCCACGGUGAAUACGUUCCCGGGCCUUGUACACACCGCCCGUCACACCAUGGGAGUGGGUUGCAAAAGAAGUAGGUAGCUUAACCUUCGGGAGGGCGCUUACCACUUUGUGAUUCAUGACUGGGGUGAAGUCGUAACAAGGUAACCGUAGGGGAACCUGCGGUUGGAUCACCUCCUUA
rnacentral:rRNA from 1 species